UCUUCACCGCCUUGGUACCCCACCACACCUCACCUCCUCUCCCCUUCCACACGUUCCUAGUACUGCUUUCUCCGCGAGUCCGUCCUGGAAUUCGCUAGCUUAUGGUGAAGUAGUAGUUGUUUGUGUUAAUUGUGACGGAUGGAACCCUUUUCUCUCUUGCAUCAUUCGCUAGAAUCAUUGUUCCUGAAGUAAAAUCAUUGUUUGUUAUGCGGCAUUAACCCACACAUGAAGGUCAUGCAUCCCGCUGGUAGUGUUGCAUCUUUAAUUAACUUAUGAAUUAACAUUGUUCUUUCGUAGAAACAAAAUUGGUAGAAGAGGUGGCAAGUAAUUAAUGUGUUCAAGUCCGAUAGAAUUUACCAGUGGGCCGUUCUGCUGCAUGUUUUCUAUAUAUCAACUGGAACCGUAGUUGUUCUGAUCACCAACAAUGGAUGUUAUUCCUGAACUAAACUGUCAGAUGCUGCAGCCUAGGGUCAGUGUUUUUUAGGAUUAGUGUGUUUAGCUGUGUGAUAAGGCAGUCUUUUCAUCGAUGGUACAUAUUCAUAGAGUAGUGAAAAAGAUCUUGAUCUCCUAAUUUUUUGCACCUCAUUUUUUUCUUGUCUCAACUUGAAAUGCCAAUCACACUCAAAGAGGAUUGACAGUCACAAAAAAGGUGCAAGAACAGAAUUACCUCAAAGGGCAUAGAUGAUAUUUUCAUGACUGUAUUGAGAUAUGUGGAACAUAAUACACUGUAUGCUUAAUUUGCAUUUUGGAGCUGCCGUUUGAAGCAUGAUGUGUGAUUUAUUUCUACCAUUUGGUUGUUAUCACAAGUUGCUGUGUUGGACACCAGCAUGCUCAUCACUACUGAUCUUGAUAUAAUAUCCUCAUUUAUUGGCAGGAUUUCGAGCUGGCUGCAGCAAGUUGAUGGAUAUCAGUGCCAGUGCCGGGAGUGCUUCUGCUUUGUAGCUAUCGCGGAUGCUGCUGGGUGGACUAUUUCCAGGAAGUUCGCGCUCGGCGGGGCCCUGGCUGUUUGGUGGCUGCUUGAAUCGGAUAGCCAUUUCUGUGCUCCAAGUUCAGUUAUUUGUGUGCUCGGUCUAGGUCAGGUUGCUUCGAUUUGAUGCUUUUGUCUGUUGCGUAAGCGUUAGGCUACGAGUUGGAUCUGAUUAUUCGGUGCUUGCAUACAUGUCAUGGUGUCACAGAGUAUAAAUGAUGAGGAAUUGAGUAGAAGCUAGAGUUCAGUUUCUUGUGCUGGGCUGGUCUGGUUCAGUCGGCUUCUAUUUCAUGCUUGAGCUAAUCCAAGCUGGAUUUACUGUAAAUAUUCCUAUCCAGUCUGUGCUGCUGGGUGGAGGAGGAACAUGGUACGUACGGUGGUACAUGGAGACGAAGCAUAUAUCGCGUUCCUACUGUUGUUCGGCGUUUGUUGAGCAAGCAAGUAGAUUUCUUAGGGUUGCCGUACAUUGUUUUCCAUGACUUGGACUAUUGGGGCAGACUUAUCAAGUUGUUGCUCUUUAUGUUAUGUUGUUUUCCAUGACUUGGACUAUUGGGGCAGACUUAUCAAGUUGUUGCUCUUUAUGUUAUGUUAUACCACCUCCAUAUGCUUGCUCUAGCUUCUAGGUAGUAGAAGAAUUGACAUGUGGGAUGCAAGUCCAAGCUUGAUACUGUAAAUGUUACUCCCACCUAUCAAGUUGGACUACUCGGGUGUCAAGUUGGUGUUGUACUGUAGUCUGUAGGAUGCACCUGCAUAUGCAUGAAAGAAUAGUUAAUAUCUUGAUCCAAGUCUAAGCUUUCAUACUUGAUAUGUUACUCCUGCCAACAGGAAAACUGGACAGUUUUGACCGCAUGCCCUGGCGGCGCUUAAAACUACCCAACUAGGCACGCGUCUACACCAUGUGGUGGACUUAAGUAUCUUAGUGACUUCAUUUGAUGUGUGUAUUUCUGUUAAUUCUAAGCUUCUGUUGCUAUGAAAAUGUACCUCACUGACCGUCUGUCUAUUUAUUGUGUACUUCUUGCAUGAGGAGGUGACUAGUGAUGCGGCGCGCCAAGCAGCAGUAGGGGAAGGGGGUCUCCUACUCGAGGAGGCGGAGGAGUAGGGGCGUGCCCAGCUGGCAGCCCUGUCCUGCUUGUGGGGGAUGGGCAGGAGGGGUCUGCUCCUCUGCUUCGAUUGCGAUCGCGGCAGGAGUAACAUUGCUGAUGGCGAUGGGUACGUGAUGGUUGCUAGUGUGGUGGACGACCCAGAAUAUGUGGCCUCGCAAGUGCACAUGAGCUCUAGGCCUAAGUUUUUUCAAGUGUGAAGCCGUGAAGCCAAGUGCGAAGGAGUUUUUUGGUUCUGUAGUAGACUGUAAAUUGUAAUAUUGUAACAAAUUGUAAAAGACUAGUGUAUGUUUGAAAUAGUGAUUAUGUAUGUUGAAAAGAUGUGAAAUGGAAACUUGACCAGUGGGAACCA